CCUAUCAACUUUCGAUGUUACUUUCUGCGCCAACCAUGGCGACCACAGGUAAUGGGCAAUCAGGGUUCGAUUCCA